GAUGAACGCCGGCGGUGUGCCUAAUACAUGCAAGUCGAGCGCACUGGCCCAACUGAUAUGACGUGCUUGCACUGAUUUGACGAUGGAUUACCAGUGAGCGGCGGACGGGUGAGUAACACGUGGGCAACCUGCCCUGGAGCGGGGGAUAACAUUUGGAAACAGAUGCUAAUACCGCAUAACAAUCAAAACCACAUGGUUUUGAUUUCAAAGAUGGCUUCGGCUAUCACUCCAGGAUGGGCCCGCGGUGCAUUAGCUUGUUGGUAAGGUAACGGCUUACCAAGGCCAUGAUGCAUAGCCGAGUUGAGAGACUGAUCGGCCACAAUGGAACUGAGACACGGUCCAUACUCCUACGGGAGGCAGCAGUAGGGAAUCUUCCACAAUGGGCGCAAGCCUGAUGGAGCAACACCGCGUGAGUGAAGAAGGGUUUCGGCUCGUAAAACUCUGUUGUUGAAGAAGAACGUGCGUGAGAGUAACUGUUCACGCAGUGACGGUGUUCAACCAGAAAGUCACGGCUAACUACGUGCCAGCAGCCGCGGUAAUACGUAGGUGGCAAGCGUUAUCCGGAUUUAUUGGGCGUAAAGCGAGCGCAGGCGGUUACUUAAGUCUGAUGUGAAAGCCUUCGGCUUAACCGAAGAAGUGCAUCGGAAACUGGGUGACUUGAGUGCAGAAGAGGACAGUGGAACUCCAUGUGUAGCGGUGGAAUGCGUAGAUAAAUGGAAGAACACCAGUGGCGAAGGCGGCUGUCUGGUCUGCAACUGACGCUGAGGCUCG
rnacentral:rRNA from 1 species